rnacentral:lncRNA from 1 species
UUGAAUUCAGUUUUGUCAUUAUUAGAAGAAAGGGAAAUAGAGUCCCCCACUCAGAAGAGGACACGUGACACCACCAUUACAACCUCCUCUCAAAGGCGCAUGAAGGAAAAAGGUAAAAAAACAAGUUGAAAUCCAUAUACAAGGCAGAUAAUCUGUUGAAUCAAAAGAAUAUCUCUCAUCUCUCCAAUGAUAUUAAGCCACGUGGCUAACUCCCAUUGGGAGAAAAAAAACUUAACUAGCCACUAAAUCCUCUCUCUCUAAAAUCUGAAAAGAAAAAAUUCCGCUUCAUGGUUACUCACUCUCCCUUCUCAUCUUCAUCAUCAAAAGGAAC